rnacentral:rRNA from 1 species
GACGAACGCUGGCGGCGUGCUUAACACAUGCAAGUCGAACGGUGAACUCUCCUUCGGGAGGGGGAUCAGUGGCGAACGGGUGAGUAACACGUGACCAACCUGCCCCUUGCUCUGGGAUAACCCCGGGAAACCGGAGCUAAUACCGGAUACGAGACCACGUGGCAUCACAUGGUCUGGAAAGUUUUUCGGCGAGGGAUGGGGUCGCGGCCUAUCAGCUUGUGGGUGGGGUAAUGGCCUACCAAGGCGACGACGGGUAGCCGGCCUGAGAGGGCGACCGGCCACACUGGGACUGAGACACGGCCCAGACUCCUACGGGAGGCAGCAGUGGGGAAUAUUGCGCAAUGGGCGAAAGCCUGACGCAGCGACGCCGCGUGAGGGAUGACGGCCUUCGGGUUGUAAACCUCUUUCAGCAGGGAAGAAGCGAAAGUGACGGUACCUGCAGAAGAAGCACCGGCUAACUACGUGCCAGCCGCCGCAGUAAAAC